CCUACGGGGGUCAGCAGUGGGGAAUAUUGCGCAAUGGGCGAAAGCCUGACGCAGCGACGCCGCGUGAGGGAUGAAGGUCUUCGGAUCGUAAACCUCUGUCAGCCGGUAAGAACGGUCACUGUGCUAAUCAGCAGUGAAUUGACGGUACCUGCAAAGGAAGCACCGGCUAACUCCGUGCCAGCAGCCGCGGUAAGACGGAGGGUGCGAUCGUUAAUCGGAAUUCCUGGGCGUGAGGCGGUCGUAGGCGGGAUGUCAAGUCAAGGGUGAAAUCCCCGCGCUCAACGUGGGAACUGCCUUUGAAACUGGCAAACUGGAGUGUGUGAGAGGAUAGUGGAAUUCCAGGUGUAGGAGUGAAAUCCGUAGAUAUCGGGAGGAACAUCAGUGGCGAAGGCGACUAUCUGGCACAUAACUGACGCUGAGGAGCGAAAGCGUGGGUAGCAAACAGGAUUAGAUACCCUUGUAGUC
rnacentral:rRNA from 1 species